rnacentral:rRNA from 1 species
UACAGAGGGUGCAAGCGUUGUUCGGAAUUACUGGGCGUAAAGGGCUCGUAGGUGGCCAACUAAGUCAGACGUGAAAUCCCUCAGCUUAACUGGGGAACUGCGUCUGAUACUGCGGUGCUUGAGGAUCAGAGGGGUGCAUGGAAUUUCCGGUGGAGCGGUGAAAUGCGUUGAUAUCGGAAGGAACUCCGGCGGCGAAAGCGAUGCACUGGCUGAUUUCUGACGCUGAGGUGCGAAAGCCAGGGGAGCAAACGGG